UACGUAGGUGGCGAGCGUUGUCCGGAUUUACUUGGCGUAAAGGGAGCGUAGGCGGACUUUUAAGUGAGAUGUGAAAUACUCGGGCUCAACUUGAGUGCUGCAUUUCAAACUGGAAGUCUAGAGUGCAGGAGAGGAGAAUGGAAUUCCUAGUGUAGCGGUGAAAUGCGUAGAGAUUAGGAAGAACACCAGUGGCGAAGGCGAUUCUCUGGACUGUAACUGACGCUGAGGCUCGAAAGCGUGGGGAGCAAACAGG
rnacentral:rRNA from 1 species